rnacentral:rRNA from 1 species
UACGUAGGUGGCUAGCGUUGUCCGGAAUUAUUGGGCGUAAAGCGUCCGCAGGUGGCCCUUCAAGUCUGCUGUCAAAGACCGGGGCUUAACCCUGGAAAGGCAGUGGAAACUGAAGCGCUAGAGUGUGGCAGGGGUAGAGGGAAUUCCCGGUGUAGCGGUGAAAUGCGUAGAGAUCGGGAAGAACAUCGGUGGCGAAAGCGCUCUACUGGGCCAUAACUGACACUCAGGGACGAAAGCUAGGGGAGCGAAUGGG